rnacentral:lncRNA from 1 species
UUAAUUUUAAAAAUUAGAUUUUAAAAUGUUAUUCCUUACUUGUUUUUUAAAAUCUAUUGUAGAAGGGUGAUUUUACUAAAAGUGAUAUUAAAAAAUAGAAAAAUUAUCAGUCGUCUAUCUUAAUGGUGUGUUUACUUAUUGAGAAUGAGAAUGAGAAUUAGAAAAUGAGAAUCAACAAAUAAGAAUGAAUGAUGUGUUUAUUUGAUUAAAUAAGAGGUGAAAUGAGAAUCAAAGUGAUGGACCCCACCUAAAAUUUGGAAUGAUUACUAGAGUUCUCAUUCCCAUGGGAGGAGAUGGGAAUGAGAUUCUUAUUUCCUAAAGUGGCUAUAUUACCCUCUCUU